ACUUUAUUUAUGUGAGCCUAUGUUGUCACAGCAGUUUGGUCAGUUGCAUUUAAGAAUUGGUAUACCAAGAUUCAUAGUUCAACUGAACUUUAAGUAAUUCCAUGAAACCCUUUUUAUCUGCCUUUUAUUAUGUUUAGUCCACACGUAAUGUCAUCUAUUCAAUCAAAAUCAGAAAUCAAGUUUGUUGGCAAAAGUCAGAAGCAGCAGUUUACUUCAUAUUGUUUACAAUGAAACACACAAAAUAGAAUGGAUGGCAUGGAAUCUGGUUUUCUUCAUGUCCUUUAAUCUAAGUCUGGCAGCCAAUUAGAAUUGGUCAGUGACCCCAUCGCAUGUCCGCAGCAUCAUUACUCAACAGCAAUAGGGUGGUAAUAGUGGUCUCAGCAAUGGGUCAUUCAAGGUCAACGCAAACACACUAGCCAAAAACCCUACUGUACAAUAGCUACCCCAUAGCCCAGCCCCACUCCACUGGAUUGGCCAGCUUCCAGGCCAAAUUAAUGAUGUCAUCCCCCACCACACCCCCACACCUCCUCCUCCCAUGUCCAGUGGGACUGGCUCUCCUUGUGCUGAUGACAUCACCAUUUUAGGCAAUAAAACCCAAUUUCUUUCUUUGGAUUUGGUUCAGUCUCCUUCUCGUAACGCCGCGUAAAUGACCUGGUUACCGUGUUGUUCCUUUACAGAAGCUGACUUCAGCUGUCUUGAUUCUGACAAACGUAAUCAUUUGUUCAUUCAGAGUUUAAUCUGAUCAACCAGUUGCUUAAUCUGGAAUGACAUGAGGCUGGCACAGCAGCAGAAUGCUCCUCACCGAGGGUUCACAGGAUGUCCAUUAGAUGAUCGUGAUGAUGUUAGAUCAGUGGGCAUGUUACUGGAGGGUCUUGUUCUUCCUGUAUGGUCACAUCAGUCCCAGUACAGCUGGCUCCCUCCUGUUUAUUCUAGUAAAGAACGUGUGUGUAUCUGUGUGUGUGUGUGUGUAUGUGUGUGAGUGCUGUCUUGUGUCUGUGUUUGUAUGUGUGUCUGUGUCUGCAGGCUUGUGUCUGUGUGUGUGUUUGUAGGUGCAGGCGAAUGUCUGUGUGUGUAUCUGUGUGUGUGUUUGUAUGUAUGUGUCUGCGUGUGUUUGUAGGUGCAGGCGAAUGUCUGUGUGUGAAUCUGUGUGUGUGUUUGUAUGUAUGUGUCUGCGUGUGUUUGUAGGUGCAGGCGAAUGUCUGUGUGUGAAUCUGUGUGUGUGCAGGCUUGCAUCUGUUUGUGUGUGUGUGUGUAUAAAGCUUUAGGUCUCUGUUUGUGUGUGUGUGUGCUUGUGUGUGGGCGUGUUGGGUGUGUACAUGAGGAUGAGUGAAGCAUAUGAAACGAGGAUGCAGCCAGUUCACUGGCCUUUCUGCUGACUGCUGAGCAGAACCUAAUUAGGCAAUGUAGUGAGUCUGACUCACCGGACAGCUGAGAGGGUGGGGGGUAGAACUGCCCCUCCCACUGUUGUCAUAACGAGAGACAGAGAAACAGAGGGACAAAAACAGAGAUAGAGAGAGACAGAGAGACAGAGAGAGACAGAGAGACAGAGAGAGACAUACAGAGAUAGAGAGAGACAGAGAGAGAGAGAGAGAGAGGGAGAAGGCAGGUGACAUAAACAGCAAGAGGGAGUUAUGUACAUUGUUACGUUGUGCCAGUAAUGUCAUUUGAAUAUGAUGGAGAGAGAGUGGCAGGUAGAUACAGACACAAAAAACACACACACACACACACACAGAUAGGGAGGUAGAGACAGACACACACACACACACACACACAGAUAGGGAGGUAGAGACAGACACACACACACACACACACACACAGAUAGGGAGGUAGAGACACACACACACACACACACAGAUAGGGAGGUAGAGACAGACACACACACACACACACACAGAUAGGGAGGUAGAGACACACACACACACACAGAUAGGUAGGUAGAGACAGAGACACACACACACACACACACACAGAUAGGUAGGUAGAGACACACACACACACACACACACAGAGGGAGAAAACAAAGACAGAGAGGAAGUUCUGAACCCUUGACCUAAUCUACCUCCUUCCCAUUUACCUGCGUUGCAGAGUUAGUGUGACCCUCCAAACCCUGGUAUCAUCAGACAUAUCCAUCCCAUGAAUGUUACCAUAUUAUGAUAUCAUCAGACUUAUCCAUCCCAUGAAUGUUACCAUAUUAUGAUAUCAUCAGACUUAUCCAUCCCAUGAAUGUUACCAUAUUAUGAUAUCAUCAGACUUAUCCAUCCCAUGAAUGUUACCAUAUUAUGAUAUCAUCAGACUUAUCCAUCCCAUGAAUGUUACCAUAUUAUGAUAUCAUCAGACUUAUCCAUCCCAUGAAUGUUACCAUAUUAUGCAACUACUGCUUUUUUAUUGAGGUCUGCAGACUUAUAAUGAGGUCAGGCCC
ensembl:lncRNA